GACGAACGCUGGCGGCGUGCCUAAUACAUGCAAGUAGAACGCUGAAGGAGGAGCUUGCUCUUCUGGAUGAGUUGCGAACGGGUGAGUAACGCGUAGGUAACCUGCCUGGUAGCGGGGGAUAACUAUUGGAAACGAUAGCUAAUACCGCAUAACAGUAGAUGUUGCAUGACAUUUGCUUAAAAGGUGCAAUUGCACCACUACCAGAUGGACCUGCGUUGUAUUAGCUAGUUGGUGGGGUAACGGCUCACCAAGGCGACGAUACAUAGCCGACCUGAGAGGGGGAUCGGCCACACUGGGACUGAGACACGGCCCAGACUCCUACAGGAGGCAGCAGUAGGGAAUCUUCGGCAAUGGACGGAAGUCUGAGCGAGAAACGCCGCGUGAGUGAAGAAGGGUUUCGGAUCGUAAAGCUCUGUUGUAAGAGAAGAAAGAGUGUGAGAGUGGAAAGUUCACACUGUGACGGUAUCUUACCAGAAAGGGACGGCUAACUACGUG
rnacentral:rRNA from 1 species